rnacentral:rRNA from 1 species
ACGAACGCUGGCGGCGUGCUUAACACAUGCAAGUCGAACGGAAAGGCCCUGCUUUUGUGGGGUGCUCGAGUGGCGAACGGGUGAGUAACACGUGAGUAACCUGCCCUUGACUUUGGGAUAACUUCAGGAAACUGGGGCUAAUACCGGAUAGGAGCUCCUGCUGCAUGGUGGGGGUUGGAAAGUUUCGGCGGUUGGGGAUGGACUCGCGGCUUAUCAGCUUGUUGGUGGGGUAGUGGCUUACCAAGGCUUUGACGGGUAGCCGGCCUGAGAGGGUGACCGGCCACAUUGGGACUGAGAUACGGCCCAGACUCCUACGGGAGGCAACAGUGGGAAUAUUGCACAAUGGGCGGAAGCCUGAUGCAGCAACGCCGCGUGCGGGAUGACGGCCUUCGGGUUGUAAACCGCUUUCGCCUGUGACGAAGCGUGAGUGACGGUAAUGGGUAAAGAAGCACCGGCUAACUACGUG